rnacentral:rRNA from 1 species
UACAGAGGUGGCAAGCGUUGUUCGGAAUUACUGGGCGUAAAGGGCGCGUAGGCGGUCUUGCAAGUCCCGUGUGAAAUCCCUCGGCUCAACUGAGGAACUGCACGGGAAACUGCUUGGCUUGAGUUCGGGAGAGGGAAGCGGAAUUCCGGGUGUAGCGGUGAAAUGCGUAGAUAUCCGGAGGAACACCGGUGGCGAAGGCGGGUCUCUGGGCCGAUACUGACGCUGAGGAGCGAAAGCGUGGGGAGCGAACAGG